CCCUUCGAUGUCCUGGGCUGCACGCGCGCUACACUGAUGCAUGCAUCAAGCGAUUCUAUUUCAAGCUCUUUGCCAGCAAUGGUAGAGAGUGAGACGCCUGGACUGACAAGUUUGGGGAAUCUUUGAACCUGCAUCGUGAUGGGGAUAGAUGAUUGCAAUUAUUCAUCUUCAACGAGGAAUUCCUAGUAAACGCGACUCAUCAUGUCGCAUUGAAUACGUCCCUGCCCUUUGUACACACCGCCCGUCGCUGCUACCGAUUGAAUGGUUCAGCAAGCUCCACGGAUUGACUUGCGGUUUUCGGACUGUGUCGAAAAGUGGCGCAAACUUGACCAUUUAGAGGAAGCAAAAGUCGUAACA
rnacentral:rRNA from 1 species